rnacentral:rRNA from 1 species
GACGAACGCUGGCGGCGUGCUUAACACAUGCAAGUCGAACGGAAAGGCCUGUGUGCCCUUGUGGAUUGCGGGUACUCUAGUGGCGAACGGGUGAGUGACACGUGAGUGAUCUGUCCCCAACUGGGUGAUAAGCCUGGGAAACUGGGUCUAAUUCCCUGUGGUACUGCAGGGUGGUGCCUGUGGUGGAUGACUUUGUUCGCGUGGUUGUGUGUGUGCUCGCGGCCUAUCAGCGUGGUGGUGGGGUAAUGGCUUACCAAGGCGGCGACGGGUAGCCGGCCUGAGGUGGUGGACGGCCACAUUGGGACUGGGAUACGGCCCAGACUCCUACACGAGGCAGCCACAGGGAAUAUUGCACAAUGGGCGGAAGCCUGAUGCAGCGACGCCGAGUGGGGGGAGUCGGCCUUCGGGUUGUAAGCUCCUUUCGACCGCAAAAAAGCCACCUGGUUGGAAGGGUGGUGACGGUAGUGGUAGAAGAAGCACCGGCUAACUACGUG